rnacentral:rRNA from 1 species
AGUGAACGCUGGCGGUAGGCCUAACACAUGCAAGUCGAACGGCAGCACAGUAAGAGCUUGCUCUUACGGGUGGCGAGUGGCGGACGGGUGAGGAAUACAUCGGAAUCUACUUUUUCGUGGGGGAUAACGUAGGGAAACUUACGCUAAUACCGCAUACGACCUACGGGUGAAAGCAGGGGAUCUUCGGACCUUGCGCGAUUGAAUGAGCCGAUGCCGGAUUAGCUGGUUGGCGGGGUAAAGGCCCACCAAGGCGACGAUCCGUAGCUGGUCUGAGAGGAUGAUCAGCCACACUGGAACUGAGACACGGUCCAGACUCCUACGGGGGGCAGCAGUGGGGAAUAUUGGACAAUGGGCGCAAGCCUGAUCCAGCCAUACCGCGUGGGUGAAGAAGGCCUUCGGGUUGUAAAGCCCUUUUGUUGGGAAAGAAAAGCAGCAGGUUAAUACCCCGCUGUUCUGACGGUACCCAAAGAAUAAGCACCGGCUAACUUCGUG